CGGACGGGUGAGUAAUGUCUGGGAAACUGCCUGAUGGAGGGGGAUAACUACUGGAAACGGUAGCUAAUACCGCAUAACGUCGCAAGACCAAAGAGGGGGACCUUGGGCCUCUUGCCAUCGGAUGUGCCCAGAUGGGAUUAGCUAGUAGGUGGGGUAACGGCUCACCUAGGCGACGAUCCCUAGCUGGUCUGAGAGGAUGACCAGCCACACUGGAAUUGAGACACGGUCCAG
rnacentral:rRNA from 1 species